rnacentral:rRNA from 1 species
GACGAACGCUGGCGGCGUGCUUUACACAUGCAAGUCGAACGGUGAAGGUGGAGCUUGCUCCGCCGGAUCAGUGGCGAACGGGUGAGUAACACGUGGGCAACCUGCCCCUAACUUUGGGAUAACUACUCGAAAGAGUAGCUAAUACCGGAUAUGAAGUCUGUAGGCAUCUAUGGAUUUGGAAAGUUUUUCGGUUAGGGAUGGGCCCGCGGCCUAUCAGCUUGUUGGUGAGGUAGUGGCUCACCAAGGCGACGACGGGUAGCCGGCCUGAGAGGGCGACCGGCCACACUGGGACUGAGACACGGCCCAGACUCCUACGGGAGGCAGCAGUGGGGAAUAUUGCACAAUGGGCGCAAGCCUGAUGCAGCGACGCCGCGUGAGGGAUGACGGCCUUCGGGUUGUAAACCUCUUUCAGCACCGACGAAGCGCAAGUGACGGUAGGUGCAGAAGAAGGACCGGCCAACUACGUGCCAGCCGCCGCCGUAA